rfam:Moraxella bovis strain CCTG 2133 2133T_ctg_0000023, whole genome shotgun sequence.
CAUCGGUAGCUUCGCAACUUUGAUUUAUGAACCCCGCCAGGACCGGAAGGUAGCAACGGUAAUAAUCCCAAAGUGUGCCGAAGGUGUGCUGAUGAAG